rnacentral:rRNA from 1 species
AUUGAACGCUGGCGGCAGGCCUAACACAUGCAAGUCGAGCGGAUGACGGGAGCUUGCUCCUAGAUUCAGCGGCGGACGGGUGAGUAAUGCCUAGGAAUCUGCCUGGUAGUGGGGGACAACGUUUCGAAAGGAACGCUAAUACCGCAUACGUCCUACGGGAGAAAGCAGGGGACCUUCGGGCCUUGCGCUAUCAGACGAGCCUAGGUCGGAUUAGCUAGUUGGUGGGGUAAUGGCUCACCAAGGCGACGAUCCGUAACUGGUCUGAGAGGAUGAUCAGUCACACUGGAACUGAGACACGGUCCAGACUCCUACGGGAGGCAGCAGUGGGGAAUAUUGGACAAUGGGCGAAAGCCUGAUCCAGCCAUGCCGCGUGUGUGAAGAAGGUCUUCGGAUUGUAAAGCACUUUAAGUUGGGAGGAAGGGCAGUAAGCUAAUACCUUGCUGUUUUGACGUUACCGACAGAAUAAGCACCGGCUAACUCUGUGCCAGCCGCCGCCGUAA